GAAAUGCGAUAAGUAAUGUGAAUUGCAGAAUUCAGUGAAUCAUCGAAUCUUUGAACGCACAUUGCGCCCGCCAGCACUCUGGCGGGCAUGCCUGUUCGAGCGUCAUUUCAACCCUCAGAACCCCUUGCGGGAUCUGGCGUUGGGGAUUGGCAUCCAGCCAGCCCCGAAAUCUAGUGGCGGUCCCUCCGCGACCUCCCCUGUGCAGUAGCGAUACCUCGCAGCGGGACAGCGGUCUGACCACGCCGUAAAACCCCCAACUUCUCAAGGUUGACCUCGAAUCAGGUAGGAAUACCCGCUGAUCAUGAGC
rnacentral:misc_RNA from 1 species